CACCGCGGUUAUACGAGAGGCUCAAGUUGAUAGACAGCGGCGUAAAGAGUGGUUAGGGAAAUCUCAAAACUAAAGCCGAAAACCUUCAAGGCCGUUAUACGCCUCCUCGAGGGUAGGAAGAACAACUACGAAAGUGGCUCUACCACACCUGACCCCACGAAAGCUGAGAAA
rnacentral:rRNA from 1 species